UGUGGGAGCGAGCUUGCUCGCGAUGACGAUCUGUCUGGCACAUCAAUGCUGAAUUUGCUGACCCCAUCGCGAGCAAGCUCGCUCCCACA
rnacentral:misc_RNA from 1 species